rnacentral:rRNA from 1 species
CCUACGGGUGGCAGCAGUGAGGAAUAUUGGUCAAUGGACGAGAGUCUGAACCAGCCAAGUAGCGUGAAGGAUGACUGCCCUAUGGGUUGUAAACUUCUUUUAUAUGGGAAUAAAAUGUUCCACGUGUGGGAUUUUGUAUGUACCAUAUGAAUAAGGAUCGGCUAACUCCGUGCCAGCAGCCGCGGUAAUACGGAGGAUCCGAGCGUUAUCCGGAUUUAUUGGGUUUGAAGGGAGCGUAGGUGGAUUGUUAAGUCAGUUGUGAAAGUUUGCGGCUCAACCGUAAAAUUGCAGUUGAAACUGGCAGUCUUGAGUACAGUAGAGGUGGGCGGAAUUCGUGGUGUAGCGGUGAAAUGCUUAGAUAUCACGAAGAACUCCGAUUGCGAAGGCAGUUCACUGGACUGCAACUGACACUGAGGCUCGAAAGUGUGGGUAUCAAACAGGAUUAGAUACCCUAGUAGUC